AGUCACGUACGUGUAUGAUUUUGUCCGGAUUAUAUACCUACACUCUCUUACAAGUCUGUUGAAUUUUGUGUAAUAUUACAUUUAGUAUUACACAUGUGGAGCAUCGAUCAAGGCAAUGUAUCUUUCAGCUUGGUUUAGGGCUAAUCAUAACUCGCUUUACAACUCCAAUUACAAACAAGGAUAUACUUUUUUCAUCACCAGCUGGUCAUUUUAAUUGUUUUAUUAUAUGUUAUGAUAUAGUAUAAAAGGUGUCAUUUGAUCUUUUUACCAUAAAAUUUCUUAAGAACAAAAGAAGGGAGCCCCCUAAUAUGCACAAUUUUUUUUGUUGUGUAACUUACACAACCACAUAAAAUGACCCUUGUACCCCUCGUCCAAGAAUUAUUUUCCCUAUGUGUCCUUCAAGUUUAAUCAACUCAAAUUAUCAAAUAACCUCUUUUUUCUCUCAGAUCUGUUUUGACAAAAAAUAACCAAGCCCUCUUGAAGAAGAUGAUCUCCGCGGCGGCGCAUGGCGGCAAUGUCGCCGGAGAAGAACUGAGGGUUGGAACCUCUUCUCCUCGUGGUGGGGGUCAUCGUGGCGGUGUUCGUUUCUUUAAAAGCCGUAGGAAUCAACCUGUAAAAGCCAUUUACAGGUGGUGGCGGUGGCGGCGGAACGACGAUCUGACUUAUGGGUUUUUCUGCGGACCGCGAGGGAAAUACGAUGGUGGUGGUGAUUUCUUCAGAUGGUUUGUGGUUUGACCGGGAUCGGAGAGAGAAGAUCGCGGUUUUAGCCAUGCAUCAGAGGAGAAGAAGCCAGAGUGGUAGAGGUUAACAGCAGAUCUGGCGGCGAUGGUGAUUGUUUAUGUUUCUGUCAUUAUUCCAAGUCUAGAAAGCCCAAAAUCAACAGCCUUUGAUAUGAAAUUCUGGACCCAAAGUAUGUUGCUUCGUUUAAUAUCUCCAUCUGGGCGAAAGCACAAGUUCGCACCAAGAAAGCCCAAACCCCAGGAAAAGCCACCUAAAAUGUAAUCACUUGGAAAUCAAAGCUUUAUUAGUAAAGCAAGUGAUGAAUGGGAAGAUGAAGAAGAUAGUGCUGCAGAUAGAGCCACUCAAGCUCGCUUGCGUAGAUGGGUUAAUUAAUUUUGGAGGAUGAAUGAUUAACUAUGAAACCGAACAAUUAAUUACAUAUCUUGUUCCUGUAAUACAUAGCCAGUAGUAUGUAUGAACUAUUUUGCUAAAUAAAAAUUUCUUGGAUGA